rnacentral:sRNA from 1 species
AAUUGAAAUAUUUGUUUGUAAAUUAUUUAUUAUUAUCUUAUCUGUUAGUAUGAAAAUUGUAGAUCUAUUCAUUCAAAAGAGGCCCUUAGUGGAACCUGGAGUCCCAGGUUCGAAUCUCGAAGACUGGUAUCACUUACUUGUAUGGUUAAAAUCAAAAGUAUAUGUUACAGAUCUAGAUUAUGUAUCUUACCAUUUAUAGGAUUUAUAGCUAAACCUACUCAGGCUACAUUUAAUAGAUCUACUGAUUUAAAUAGUAAUUAAAAAAACAAAAUAAAGUAACAUGUAGAUCAAAUACAAUUUGUAAGUCAGUAACAAUCUAAUGUAUCUCCAUAUCUAGAAGGUGUCUCCGCUGUCUAGAUCUAGACUAAAAUAUCAGGUGUUAACUAGGUUUUAAGAUUAUGUUUUAACUAACAUAUCAUGUGUUAACCAUUUUUAAAGAUCAUGUUUUAGCUUGAAAUAUCAUGUGUUGACCACGUUGUCAGAGUAUGUCUUAAUUACUAUAUAUUAAGAUUAAGCUUUGUCUUUUUUACAAAUAAAUGAAAUGAGAUUUAAAA